AUUGAACGCUGGCGGCAGGCCUAACACAUGCAAGUCGAGCGGAGCGGCGGACGGGUGAGUAAUGCCUAGGAAUCUGCCUGGUAGUGGGGGAUAACGUCCGGAAACGGGCGCUCAUACCGCAUACUAUCAGAUGAGCCUAGGUCGGAUUAGCUAGUUGGUUGGGUAACGGCCUACCAAGGCGACGAUCCGUAACUGGUCUGAGAGGAUGAUCAGUCAAACUGGAACUGAAACACGGUCCAGACUGCACCGGGAGGAAGCAGUGGGGAAUAUUGGACAAUGGGAGAAAGGCUGAUCCAGCCAUGCGGCGUGUGUGAAGAAGGUCUUCGGAUUGUAAAGGACUUUAAGUUGGGAGGCGUUACCAACAGAAGAAUCACCGGCUAACUUCGUGCCAGCAGCCGCGGUAAUAC
rnacentral:rRNA from 1 species